AGUGAACGCUGGCGGUAGGCCUAACACAUGCAAGUCGAACGGCAGCACAGUAAGAGCUUGCUCUUACGGGUGGCGAGUGGCGGACGGGUGAGGCAUACAUCGGAAUCUACUUUUUCGUGGGGGAUAACGUAGGGAAACUUACGCUAAUACCGCAUACGACCUACGGGUGAAAGCAGGGGAUCUUCGGACCUUGCGCGUUUGAAUGAGCCGAUGUCGGAUUAGCUAGUUGGCGGGGUAAGGGCCCACCAAGGCGACGAUCCGUAGCUGGUCUGAGAGGAUGAUCAGCCACACUGGAACUGAGACACGGUCCAGACUCCUACGGGAGGCAGCAGUGGGGAAUAUUGGACAAAGGGCGCAAGCCUGAUCCAGCCAUACCGCGUGGGUGAAGAAGGCCUUCGGGUUGUAAAGCCCUUUUGUUGGGAAAGAAAAGCAGCAGGUUAAUACCCCGCUGUUCUGACGGUACCCAAAGAAUAAGCACCGGCUAACUUCGUG
rnacentral:rRNA from 1 species